rnacentral:misc_RNA from 1 species
GACCCAGAUAAGUGAAGCCAGUAGCAACUUGCAGGGGUUUCUCAGCAGUCCAUUGAGGCAUUUGGGCUAGCUCCUUCAUUGAAUUUAUAUUUUGAAAAAUUCCAUAUUGAGGAAUUGCAAGGGAUAAACGGCAAUCCCCAUACUCAAGAGCAUCAUGAACAAGGAUAAGAUCUUCAUUCCCUUUUCCAUAUUCACUGACUGUAUCAAACCCCACAAUUCCAAGGUCCAAAUCUCC